rnacentral:rRNA from 1 species
UACGAAAGGGGGGCUAGCGUUGCUCGGAAUCACUGGGCGUAAAGCGCACGUAGGCGGCUUUUUAAGUCAGGGGUGAAAUCCUGGAGCUCAACUCCAGAACUGCCUUUGAUACUGAGAGCUUGAGUCCGGGAGAGGUGAGUGGAACUGCGAGUGUAGAGGUGAAAUUCGUAGAUAUUCGCAAGAACACCAGUGGCGAAGGCGGCUCACUGGCCCGGUACUGACGCUGAGG